GUGCAUCUGGGGUUUAUACCAGUCAGGCUCCUGGCUAGUGUCCAGCUCUCAGCUGGCACCUGGUCUAACCAAAGCCUGACAAUAAGCUGCUCCAG
rnacentral:pre_miRNA from 1 species